GAUGAACGCUGGCGGCGUGCCUAAUACAUGCAAGUCGAGCGAACAGACGAGGAGCUUGCUCCUCUGACGUUAGCGGCGGACGGGUGAGUAACACGUGGAUAACCUACCUAUAAGACUGGGAUAAUUUCUGGAAACCGGAGCUAAUACCGGAUAAUAUAUUGAACCGCAUGGUUCAAUAGUGAAAGACGGUUUUGCUGUCACUUAUAGAUUGAUCCGCGCCGCAUUAGCUAGUUGGUAAGGUAACGGCUUACCAAGGCAACGAUGCGUAGCCGACCUGAGAGGGUGAUCGGCCACACUGGAAAUGAGACACGGUCCAGACUCCUACGGGAGGCAGCAGUAGGGAAUCUUCCGCAAUGGGCGAAAGCCUGACGGAGCAACGCCGCGUGAAUGAUGAAGGUCUUCGGAUCGUAAAACUCUGUUAUGAGGGAAGAACAAAUGUGUAAGUAACUAUGCACGUCUUGACGGUACCUAAUCAGAAAGCCACGGCUAACUACGUG
rnacentral:rRNA from 1 species